CUGGGGGUCGAAGCCCGUUUUACUGAAAAUAACCCUGUGACAUGUUGCUGUUAAACGGGCUAAUGUUAUUGAUCGACAAGCUGACAGUAGACUGACAGUAGACAUCUGGGUUGUUCUUAACCCCAGACACCAUCUCUCCUUGUUCCACUCAGGGUAGCAGGGUGGCCUAGUGGCUAGAGUGUAGAGGAGGCAGGUAGCCUAGUGGUUAGAGUGUAGAGGUGGCAGGUAGCCUAGUGGUUAGAGUAUAGAGGUGGCAGGUAGCCUAGUGGUUAGAGUGUAGAGGAGGCAGGUAGUCUAGUGGUUAGAGUGGGGAGGAGGCAGGUAGCCUAGUGGUUAGAGUGUAGAGGAGGCAGGUAGCCUAGUGGUUAGAGUGUAGAGGAGGCAGGUAGCCUAGUGGUUAGAGUGUAGAGGAGGCAGGUAGCCUAGUGGUUAGAGUGUAGAGGAGGCAGGUAGUCUAGUGGUUAGAGUGGGGAGGAGGCAGGUAGCCUAGUGGUUAGAGUGUAGAGGAG
ensembl:lncRNA